AGAAUCAACGCUGGCGGCGUGCCUAACACAUGCAAGUCGAACGAGAAAGGGUAGCAAUACCCAAGUAAAGUGGCGCACGGGUGAGUAACACGUGACUAACCUACCCUGGAGUGGGGGAUAACUGAGGGAAACCUUAGCUAAUACCGCAUAACACCUACGGGUCAAAGGAGCAAUUCGCUUCAGGAGGGGGUCGCGGCCGAUUAGUUAGUUGGCGGGGUAAAGGCCCACCAAGACGAUGAUCGGUAUCC
rnacentral:rRNA from 1 species